UUUCUAACCGUUCAUUCUCCACAAAUGUGCGUCCCACCUCAUGAGUGGCCACCAGCCCGCCGUGGUUUUUGGGCUAGAUCUCAUCCACCAUGUGGACCACCUGAUGAACCAUUCAGACCUUGGAUUCUACAUGCAAAAGAAAUAAGGCAAAUAUAACUUCAAUACAUGCAUGCAUGCUUUGUCUAUGUUUAUAGGUCUAGUGGUUUGUAAAUAUAACUAUAAAAUGCAGUGUCUUUUGGUUAUGGCUUUCUUUGGCUUAGCUUAGGGGUAACUUGCUUUCGCACAUGUGACAAGAGUGUCCAAGAUCCAAACCGUUCAUCACGAAGGACAUACGUUUGAUGCCCCAUAUCCCAACAAUCACACC